UGGUUUUGGACCCGUGUCUGCCGGUAGAUCCCCCGUUUUUGUGCGGCCGACUACCGGCGCCGUGUCCCGUCGUUCCUGAGGCUUUGUGUUACCGUUGCCUUUCAAGUGCUUGCGUGCUGGUACCCGAACUAAGGGAAUUGGUGCUACGUACAUGUUGCCUCGCGGUGGGCGCCUUCGGGUGUGCUGCUGCGGCCAAAUGGCGCUUGCGGCGUUGCCUCGUUACGCUGCCACGUUUACGUGGUUGCCGUUAUCAAGGCAACCUCGCUCCUGCUGUUGGUCUUGGAUGUUGCCCACGAUGAAGUCUCAUGGCCCUUUUUGGUUGCCUAGACCCGACCCUAAGAAGCUCUCCGAAUUGAGAACAACCGGAACAUGUGUUGCCUCUACGUAUUCCGCAGUUAGUGGUAUGAUACGCAACAUUUUGCGCCGAUCCUCAAAUAUGUAGGACGAGCUUAGCCCGCUCAAUUGUGACAUCCGGCCCGGGGACCGCUUCUGGCUUGACACGCAAGUGGACGGACGGACGACUCCCGAUGCUGGACGUCAACAAGGA
rnacentral:misc_RNA from 1 species